GUAGGUGAACCUGCGGAAGGAUCAUUAACUAUACGAAGGGAGGGUUGGGCUUCGGCCUGCCCCUCUCUGACUAUUCUACCCGUGUCUUUUUGCGUACCAUUUGUUUCCUUGGUGGGCUUGCCUGCCGAUAGGACACUAUAAAAACCUUUUGUAAUUGCAGUCAGCGUCAGUAAAAACUUAAUAGUUACAACUUUCAACAACGGAUCUCUUGGUUCUG
rnacentral:misc_RNA from 1 species